UGUGUAUUCUCUUCUCAGUUUAGGGCAGCAGUUCGUGUGUGUGUGUGUAUUCUCUUCUCAGUUUAGGGCAGCUUCUUCCGGACCUUGCUCCUGGCACUCGAGCCGCCUGCACCUUUAUAUAUCAGUUCUAAAAAUUGAUGUGCGUCAGGCCAACUAUGUAUCAGGCCCGAUGCUGGAUAUUAUAGCUCUUGGGAAGUGCAAGGCUUGCCUGUUAAACUUUCCUGUUUCUCUAGUUAGUGUACAAACAUACGCAUUCACAUAAACAUGCCAGCAACCCAUCUUGCUAUACUCGUGCUUGUACUUGUUUAUUUUCUUGUUUGGAAAAUGGUUUCUUAUCCUCCUAACAACUUUUCUCUGUCGCUACAGCGCCCCGGCCGUUCAUUGCCACCAUCCUGGGCCGUUCAACAUGACAGUGCCAAGCCGUUCGAUGCCCCAGCUCAGGAGGUGCCCGUCACAGCUUUCCCCCCACCUCCCAUUGCAUGUUCAUACUCCUUCUCUUGUGUACAUUCAGUUCACAAGAUGCAUGGUCUCGCAUUAUAAUUUCAGAUCAUGUUCAUGCAUUUGUGUUGUUUGGAUUCAGUUACUCUGCUUGUACUCCCUGUUUGCAUCUUAUGCUGAUGGUGAACCUUUGUCUGAAUUAUCAGUAAGCAAUGUUGUUUGGAUUCAGUUACUAAGACUGAAAAGUAGUUGAAGUUUCUAUCCCCUGUGUUCUGAUAUUGUAAGCAAUGUUGAUCAAACGAGUUUAAAAUUUAAAUAUUCUUGAAUUCAGAAACACAUAACCAGAGAUACUAGAUGCAAAACAAGCAUACCUAUCAGCACCUAAAUACAUACAUGAACCCUGCCUAGUACAUGUCUGAUUAGCAGUCUACAGAAUAUUGAAUUUUUUGGGUUUGAUGUAUCUACUGGAUCAAGGCAAUGCAGUAGAUAGUAAUACAUCUCACAGUUCCUUCACCAUUGCCCAAGCCAUCUGUCCCGCAAACUAGCUUUCCAUAAAUCAGCACCUGCAACCAUAAUUCCACACUUCCAGGCUAAUCAAACUCUUGCCCUCGCCCUCGAGAUUGUUCCCUGCGCAAUCUGUGUAUGCUGCUGCUGCAUGUACCACCAGUUUGUUCAUGUUGGCAUGUUCCAAUACCCACUGAAGAAGCUCUGUGCCUGUACUGCUUCAUUCUUGCUUGGACCGAAACUAAAUACUUAACUUUUGCACAACACUUGCAAGCGAUUAGUUGAAUUUCGGUAUCAUCUACCUUUCCUGUACUCCAUUCUAACGGCAUUGAAAAUUCAGAAAUGGUAUGCAGAUAGUAAUUUCUAUGCCAAUUUAUAUGGAACACAUGACACGACUCAACUAGUAUUUUGUCCACUGUCACCAUUAGCCUAGCAUGCCAAACUAGCUUAUAUAAAUAGCAAUGCUAUUGUUAAAUACAUAUUUUCUGAACUACAAACACCACAGGGAAAGAAGAAAUGAUUUUAUCUCUGUGAUAAGUUGUUGAAUGACUUCUUAAGAAGAGCAGUACUACUAAGGAAACCUUGAAAACUUCUACCCCUGUUGCUGCAUCCUGUGCAGGCCGCUGCUGACUCCCGUGCAGGCCGCCAAUGCCCCUGUGCAAGGUUCAAAGGCCAUGGAAUUCUGCGACCAUUUGAGCUGGGCGACGGACCUAUACAACAUCCAACAUGUCCUCGUACUACACCAAGCAUAACCACAAGAACGCUCGUGCCACAGCAGCGCCCAGGCCGUUCACCAUCGGCACCAUAGUCCGUUCACGGCUGACUAUCGAGGCCGUUCACCGCCAACACCUGAGGCCGUUCGUCGAUGGAACAAUGAGGCUGCAUUCUCCUCCAGCACCAGGCCAGUGCUAUGGUGAACAUUCAAGGCAACAAAGCACACCACAGGUCGCAGUGCUGCCGCCGACCACAUGUGUGCAUGCGUGCGAUUGGUGCGUAUGUGCUUUAGGUAUAACUGCUGCAGCACUUCAGAAAUAUGAACAAACAAAGCUCAAAGCAAAGUGCUAUUAACUGGGUCUUCCUGGAGCCAAGAUCCAACGCGUGAGAGAGAAGGGGUCGUUGCUGUAAUAGCGACAACCGACACACUAUAGCCGGCGUUGAACCUGACCCCGACCUCUACCGUGAUAGAGAAACAGUUUUCUCCCAACGACGCAGGCGGCUACCCCGUACUUUCACCUCCGUCCGUCGCCGCCGUCCGCACAACUCUUGAUGCCGGAGUCCACACUGUAUCGAUGCGCCGCUAUCGCUCUGCCGUCGCGUGCAGGAAGUUCAACGCCACAACCCCGGCCGUUUAAUCUUGCUGCCGUGGGCGUGCCCCGCUCCAACUCCAUCGCCUGUGCUUCACUAGUGAAACAGUACGACCUGAGGAACCACGGGGGGUUGAGGACGUCCAACUCGGCAGUCCAACUCGGCGUUCUUCGUGUCAUCGUUAGCCCCAUGUUUGCUGGCAAGACCACCGUGCUUCUCCGCUGGCAUCGACAGGAAGACGAGUCCCUCGUCCGGUACGUCCAGGUUGGUAUCGAUGCUCCGGCCAACUCCUUUGAUCUGCUCGGUAAAUGCCCACUACUAACUCCAUUUGAAGUUUUUCAGUUUUAAUCGCGAUGCUUUUCUACUCAUGACACUGGAGCCCCCACUGCACACAAGUACGUGGUGGAAGUUUGUACCAGUUCGGAGAAAAAAGAAACAAAGUUCAAAAAGAAAAAUCAUGAGUUCACCUUCCAUAAAGUUUGAAGUACAGAGAUAUCACCUUGAUGUAGUAUGUAAAUAUGUAUUGCAAAUUUGCAAUUCAGGAAUGGGUGUGUGUGUUGUAGUCUCUGCCUACAGAGUCAAUAUGUGUUUUUGUAGUGCUGGUAGUUGUAGUCGCCCGCGCUCUCUGCCGUCAUCAAGGGCACAUGUGUGCCGUCCUCAGUCCAACCCCAUGGCAUUAGGGUGGUCGAGUUCGUCGCGACCAGCAGUCCAUGGCUGUCGGCUUCAACUUUAUUCCACCUAGGUGCUUACACUUCUUUUUGGAUGUUUUUUGUAUGAAUCUGCAUUUUGGUUAUUGAAUUCAGUACAACGAAACACAUGAAUCCCCGAUGCGUACCAAAUGACUGAUUCUUUUAAACAGUCAGUAGAUUAGUAGAUUUCACCAUUGGUUGGUCUACUUGUGUAAAUCUGUCAGUUCAUGACAAGUAAUUUCUGAUGCUAGAAAUGUAGGAUGUUUGUGUGAAUCUUGCAUGUUUCAGAGAGAAAAAAAGUUUGUAGUUCCAUCACAUGGUGUACUGAACAACAUAAACAUGGUGUACUGAACAAACAUACGCAUUCACAUAAACAUGCCAGCAACUCCUCUUGCUAUACUUGUGCUUGUACUUGUCUAUUUUCUUGUUUGGAAAAUGGUUUCUUAUCCUCCUAACAGCUUUUCUCGCAUUUCAUCUAAAUUUAGUUUCAGCUGAAACCAGAGCUAAUGCAUUUGUGGCAUUGUAUGAGGUUACUAGGAAGAUUUGCAUUAGAGAAUGUUGUGCUGGAAAAGCUUCUAUUGAUCUCCGUCCACGAGUGGUGCUGCCCCGCGUCCGGUCGACAGCGUCCACGAGCGCGAGCAGCCCGUAUCCGGCUGCAAGAUGAAGGCCACCCGUGAACCGUGCUUCCCCUAACCACGUCCACCUUGUGUGAGUUCGCUGCUGAGAAGAAGCACAAGAACCUACAGUUCCCGGUGGUCGCCUUGGCCACACUUGGCCACGAGCUCUUCCACCAUGGUGACUGGCAGCCAUCCAAGUGGAAUGCAGACAUCAGUCCAAGCAGAACUAGUUCAUAUAAACUGACUGGUUUACCCUAAGUUUCCACCGUUUAAGUUCAGUUCAAUUCCUAAUUUAGGUUCAGUUCAUAGGAGCACUUAAAAAUCAAUUAGUUUGUGUUACUUAUAUUCCAUGAACUUCUAGUACCAUAAUUAAUGUAGUAGUGACAUGAGCUCCCUCUCCACCACUCCAGGAUCCACAGCGUCCUCCCAGUCCGACCCCAUGGUGUACAUUAACUUGGUUGUUAUAGUUGUUAUAGCAGAUAUAGUACAAAACUCUUUUUAGGUUUCUUUGUGAACUUAUAAUGUUUACUGUACAUGAACUUAGUUGUUCUUUUUACAUGAACUUGUACAUUGCCUUGUCAGGUUGUGCGUGUACUACCCAUAGGAGCACUUGAAAAUUUAAGUUAUGUUUAAUUUCUAAUUUAAAUUUAGUUCAUAGGAGCACUUGAAAAAUCAGUUUGUUUGUUUUACUUAUAUCCCAGUAUCCGGCUCUGCUGCUAAUGCGACGAUCUCCUCUUCCAGGUCCGGCAGCCCCCUGUACUCCCACAAUCUUUCAAAUUUGAUCAUUUUUUUGCAGGAUGUGGAAAAACUAGAUGCAACAUUUAUGGAAAAAAAGAGAUGGAUUUAUAGGAAGAUGGAGCACUGGAACGGAGAAGACUCAGUUCACAAAACAAUCUGAAAAAGUAGCAGGAACAGGCAACAGUUUGCAAAAAAAAUGAAGGUACAAAUAAAGUUCAUAAAAAUGCUAUGAAAUUCAUGUACAUCGUCUGUAGUGUGUUGCGUGAUGUGGCAAUAGUGCGUGCUGUAGUGUGUUGGUGGAAACUGAAUUGAAGGAUCUUCAAUAUAUGAACCACAAGAGAGGUGCAUCCUGUACAUCGUCUCAAGAUCCUUCAUGUUAAUUUAUCCUUCAGUCCAAAAAUACAUGAAUCACAAAGACAGCUGAUGUUGCUAUUUCUUUUGGUUGAUGCUCA